rnacentral:tRNA from 3 species
CGGGAUGUGGCUCAGUCUGGUAGAGCACAGCGUUCGGGACGCUGGAGUCGGAGGUUCAAAUCCUCUCAUCCCGACCA